rnacentral:ribozyme from 17 species
GGCGGAAGGGAAGAAAGAAAAGAAAAGAAAAGAAAAGAAAAGGGAACUGUUAUUGCAUUCCAUUUCAUUCCAUUGAAUUGAAUUGCAUUCCAUUCCAUU